AACGAACGCCGGCGGCAUGCCUUACACAUGCAAGUCGAACGGUAACGCGGGGCAACCUGGCGACGAGUGGCGAACGGGUGAGUAAUGCAUCGGAACGUGCCCAGUCGUGGGGGAUAACUGCUCGAAAGAGCAGCUAAUACCGCAUACGACCUGAGGGUGAAAGCGGGGGAUCGCAAGACCUCGCGCAAUUGGAGCGGCCGAUGUCGGAUUAGCUAGUUGGUGGGGUAAAGGCCCACCAAGGCGACGAUCCGUAGCUGGUCUGAGAGGACGACCAGCCACACUGGGACUGAGACACGGCCCAGACUCCUACGGGAGGCAGCAGUGGGGAAUUUUGGACAAUGGACGCAAGUCUGAUCCAGCCAUGCCGCGUGCGGGAAGAAGGCCUUCGGGUUGUAAACCGCUUUUGUCAGGGAAGAAAUCUUCUGGGUUAAUACCUCGGGAGGAUGACGGUACCUGAAGAAUAAGCACCGGCUAACUACGUGCCAGCCGCCGCGGUAAUAC
rnacentral:rRNA from 1 species